AAUAGAUACCCAGGUAGUCCACGCCGUAAACGAUGAGUGCUAAGUGUUAGAGGGUUUCCGCCCUUUAGUGCUGCAGCUAACGCAUUAAGCACUCCGCCUGGGGAGUACGGCCGCAAGGCUGAAACUCGAAAGGAAUUGACGGGGGCCCGCACAAGCGGUGGAGCAUGUGGUUUAAUUCGAAGCAACGCGAAGAACCUUACCAGGUCUUGACAUCAUCUGCCAACCCUAGAGAUAGGGCGUUCCCCUUCGGGGGACAGAGUGACAGGUGGUGCAUGGUUGUCGUCAGCUCGUGUCGUGAGAUGUUGGGUUAAGUCCCGCAACGAGCGCAACCCUUGAUCUUAGUUGCCAGCAUUCAGUUGGGCACUCUAAGGUGACUGCCGGUGACAAACCGGAGGAAGGCGGGGAUGACGUCAAAUCAUCAUGCCCCUUAUGACCUGGGCUACACACGUGCUACAAUGGAUGGUACAAAGAGCAGCGAACCCGCGAGGGUAAGCCAAUCUCAUAAAGCCAUUCUCAGUUCGGAUUGU
rnacentral:rRNA from 1 species